rnacentral:rRNA from 1 species
CGCACGGGUGCGUAACGCGUAUGCAACCUACCAUCAACAGGGGGAUAACACUGAGAAAUUGGUACUAAUACCCCAUAAUAUCUCAUGCGGCAUCGCAUGGGGUUGAAAACUCCGGUGGUUGAUGAUGGGCAUGCGUUGUAUUAGCUGGUUGGUGAGGUAACGGCUCACCAAGGCGACGAUACAUAGGGGGACUGAGAGGUUAACCCCCCCACAUUGGUACUGAGACACGGACCAAACUCCUACGGGAGGCAGCAG